rnacentral:rRNA from 1 species
AGCGUACACGGUGGAUGCCCUGGCAGUCAGAGGCGAUGAAGGACGUGCUAAUCUGCGAUAAGCGUCGGUAAGGUGAUAUGAACCGUUAUAACCGGCGAUUUCCGAAUGGGGAAACCCAGUGUGUUUCGACACACUAUCAUUAACUGAAUCCAUAGGUUAAUGAGGCGAACCGGGGGAACUGAAACAUCUAAGUACCCCGAGGAAAAGAAAUCAACCGAGAUUCCCCCAGUAGCGGCGAGCGAACGGGGAGCAGCCCAGAGCCUGAAUCAGUGUGUGUGUUAGUGGAAGCGUCUGGAAAGGCGCGCGAUACAGGGUGACAGCCCCGUACACAAAAAUGCACAUACUGUGAGCUCGAUGAGUAGGGCGGGACACGUGGUAUCCUGUCUGAAUAUGGGGGGACCAUCCUCCAAGGCUAAAUACUCCUGACUGACCGAUAGUGAACCAGUACCGUGAGGGAAAGGCGAAAAGAACCCCGGCGAGGGGAGUGAAAAAGAACCUGAAACCGUGUACGUACAAGCAGUGGGAGCACGCUUAGGCGUGUGACUGCGUACCUUUUGUAUAAUGGGUCAGCGACUUAUAUUCUGUAGCAAGGUUAACCGAAUAGGGGAGCCGAAGGGAAACCGAGUCUUAACUGGGCGUUAAGUUGCAGGGUAUAGACCCGAAACCCGGUGAUCUAGCCAUGGGCAGGUUGAAGGUUGGGUAACACUAACUGGAGGACCGAACCGACUAAUGUUGAAAAAUUAGCGGAUGACUUGUGGCUGGGGGUGAAAGGCCAAUCAAACCGGGAGAUAGCUGGUUCUCCCCGAAAGCUAUUUAGGUAGCGCCUCGUGAAUUCAUCUCCGGGGGUAGAGCACUGUUUCGGCAAGGGGGUCAUCCCGACUUACCAACCCGAUGCAAACUGCGAAUACCGGAGAAUGUUAUCACGGGAGACACACGGCGGGUGCUAACGUCCGUCGUGAAGAGGGAAACAACCCAGACCGCCAGCUAAGGUCCCAAAGUCAUGGUUAAGUGGGAAACGAUGUGGGAAGGCCCAGACAGCCAGGAUGUUGGCUUAGAAGCAGCCAUCAUUUAAAGAAAGCGUAAUAGCUCACUGGUCGAGUCGGCCUGCGCGGAAGAUGUAACGGGGCUAAACCAUGCACCGAAGCUGCGGCAGCGACGCUUAUGCGUUGUUGGGUAGGGGAGCGUUCUGUAAGCCUGCGAAGGUGUGCUGUGAGGCAUGCUGGAGGUAUCAGAAGUGCGAAUGCUGACAUAAGUAACGAUAAAGCGGGUGAAAAGCCCGCUCGCCGGAAGACCAAGGGUUCCUGUCCAACGUUAAUCGGGGCAGGGUGAGUCGACCCCUAAGGCGAGGCCGAAAGGCGUAGUCGAUGGGAAACAGGUUAAUAUUCCUGUACUUGGUGUUACUGCGAAGGGGGGACGGAGAAGGCUAUGUUGGCCGGGCGACGGUUGUCCCGGUUUAAGCGUGUAGGCUGGUUUUCCAGGCAAAUCCGGAAAAUCAAGGCUGAGGCGUGAUGACGAGGCACUACGGUGCUGAAGCAACAAAUGCCCUGCUUCCAGGAAAAGCCUCUAAGCAUCAGGUAACAUCAAAUCGUACCCCAAACCGACACAGGUGGUCAGGUAGAGAAUACCAAGGCGCUUGAGAGAACUCGGGUGAAGGAACUAGGCAAAAUGGUGCCGUAACUUCGGGAGAAGGCACGCUGAUAUGUAGGUGAAGUCCCUCGCGGAUGGAGCUGAAAUCAGUCGAAGAUACCAGCUGGCUGCAACUGUUUAUUAAAAACACAGCACUGUGCAAACACGAAAGUGGACGUAUACGGUGUGACGCCUGCCCGGUGCCGGAAGGUUAAUUGAUGGGGUCAGCGCAAGCGAAGCUCUUGAUCGAAGCCCCGGUAAACGGCGGCCGUAACUAUAACGGUCCUAAGGUAGCGAAAUUCCUUGUCGGGUAAGUUCCGACCUGCACGAAUGGCGUAAUGAUGGCCAGGCUGUCUCCACCCGAGACUCAGUGAAAUUGAACUCGCUGUGAAGAUGCAGUGUACCCGCGGCAAGACGGAAAGACCCCGUGAACCUUUACUAUAGCUUGACACUGAACAUUGAGCCUUGAUGUGUAGGAUAGGUGGGAGGCUUUGAAGUGUGGACGCCAGUCUGCAUGGAGCCGACCUUGAAAUACCACCCUUUAAUGUUUGAUGUUCUAACGUUGACCCGUAAUCCGGGUUGCGGACAGUGUCUGGUGGGUAGUUUGACUGGGGCGGUCUCCUCCUAAAGAGUAACGGAGGAGCACGAAGGUUGGCUAAUCCUGGUCGGACAUCAGGAGGUUAGUGCAAUGGCAUAAGCCAGCUUGACUGCGAGCGUGACGGCGCGAGCAGGUGCGAAAGCAGGUCAUAGUGAUCCGGUGGUUCUGAAUGGAAGGGCCAUCGCUCAACGGAUAAAAGGUACUCCGGGGAUAACAGGCUGAUACCGCCCAAGAGUUCAUAUCGACGGCGGUGUUUGGCACCUCGAUGUCGGCUCAUCACAUCCUGGGGCUGAAGUAGGUCCCAAGGGUAUGGCUGUUCGCCAUUUAAAGUGGUACGCGAGCUGGGUUUAGAACGUCGUGAGACAGUUCGGUCCCUAUCUGCCGUGGGCGCUGGAGAACUGAGGGGGGCUGCUCCUAGUACGAGAGGACCGGAGUGGACGCAUCACUGGUGUUCGGGUUGUCAUGCCAAUGGCACUGCCCGGUAGCUAAAUGCGGAAGAGAUAAGUGCUGAAAGCAUCUAAGCACGAAACUUGCCCCGAGAUGAGUUCUCCCUGACUCCUUGA